UUUUAUUCCGUGCCUACCUAACUCUUCAGUCAGCUCGUAUGAACACAUGACGGCGCAAAGCAGAAGUCAACCCACCCCUGGCAUUUCCUGGCCGCAGCAACGAUUUCACGAUCUUGGUGGGAAUGAAAUUUACAACACAAUGGAACCUGAUGGUAUUCAUUCUGAUGGUUAACGACAGAUGCUCAGAAUGCUCAACUCUUGACAAAUUGAUUACGGCGAUUGCAACUUGGUGUACCAUGAUAUCUUGUCGAGGUUCCUUGAAACUGGGAAACUUCAACUGCAUCUAGAGACGAAUGGCUACAUGACUUUUGGCAAAGCAUCCCCGAGCUCCUCCUCAUAUCCCCCGUUUUGCCUGUGUCAGGGAGGUUGGCUAUCCUUUCAUCAAAUUCUUCACAUCAUAAAAUACGUAGAGCUGGUUACCUAUCCACGGGGCACACAGUUGAACGUGGUGCAAAUCUAGAGCCGGAAAAACAGUUCAUCUGGGGCAUACAGUUGAAUGUGGUUAAUAAAAAGUUGAACAUGGUUAAUUUUUCGGGCCGGAAUAACCUUGAGCAUGGUUUUGACCUUAAACCAUGUCAAACCCCCCCAUUAAAACUACAUGCACUAGCCAUAUCUCAUCCAUCAUCCAUCCAUAUCUCACACACAUCUUCAAAUAC
rnacentral:sRNA from 1 species